UACGAAGGUGGCAAGCGUUGUUCGGAUUUACUGGGCGUACAGGGAGCGUAGGCGGUUGGAUAAGCCCUCCGUGAAAUCUCCAGGCUUAACCUGGAAAGUGCAGAGGGGACUGUUCAGCUAGAGGAUGGGAGAGGAACGCGGAAUUCCCGGUGUAGCGGUGAAAUGCGUAGAGAUCGGGAGGAAGGCCGGUGGCGAAGGCGGCGCUCUGGAACAUUUCUGACGCUGAGGCUCGAAGCGUGGGAGGCAAACAGGG
rnacentral:rRNA from 1 species